rnacentral:rRNA from 1 species
UACAGAGGGUGCGAGCGUUGUUCGGAAUUAUUGGGCGUAAAGGGCGCGUAGGCGGUGCGGUAAGUCUGUAGUGAAAUCUCUGGGCUCAACUCAGAGUCUGCUGCAGAAACUGCCGUGCUUGAGUGUGGGAGAGGUGAGUGGAAUUCCCGGUGUAGCGGUGAAAUGCGUAGAGAUCCGGAGGAACCCCAGAGGCGAAGGCGACGCCCUGGCUCGUACCUGACGCUCAGCCACGAAAGCAUGGGGAGCGAACGGG